rnacentral:rRNA from 1 species
GACGAACGCUGGCGGCGUGCCUAAUACAUGCAAGUCGAGCGAAGUUUUUCUGGUGCUUGCACCGGAAAAACUUAGCGGCGAACGGGUGAGUAACACGUAAAGAACCUGCCUCAUAGACUGGGACAACUAUUGGAAACGAUAGCUAAUACCGGAUAAUAGCAUUAACUGCAUGGUUGAUGUUUAAAAGUUGGUUUUGCUAACACUAUGAGAUGGCUUUGCGGUGCAUUAGCUAGUUGGUGGGGUAAAGGCCUACCAAGGCGACGAUGCAUAGCCGACCUGAGAGGGUGAUCGGCCACACUGGGACUGAGACACGGCCCAGACUCCUACGUGAGGCAGCAGUAGGGAAUCUUCCGCAAUGGGCGAAAGCCUGACGGAGCAACGCCGCGUGAGUGAAGAAGGAUUUCGGUUCGUAAAGCUCUGUUGUUAGGGAAGAAUGAUUGUGUAGUAACUAUACACAGUAGAGACGGUACCUAACCAGAAAGCCACGGCUAACUACGUG